UACGUAGGCAGCAAGCGUUGUUCGGAGUUACUGGGCGUAAAGGGUGUGUAGGCGGUUGCUUAAGUUUGGUGUGAAAUCUCCCGGCUCAACUGGGAGGGUGCGCCGAAUACUGAGUGACUAGAGUGCGGGAGAGGAAAGUGGAAUUCCUGGUGUAGCGGUGAAAUGCGUAGAUAUCAGGAGGAACAUCGGUGGUGUAGACGGCUUUCUGGACCGUAACUGACGCUGAGACACGAAAGCGUGGGGAGCGAACAGG
rnacentral:rRNA from 1 species